AUUUAUAUAGUAUAAUAAUUAUAUAUAACUUCCAAUUAUAAGAUUUAAAUUUAUUUAAUAUAAAUA
rnacentral:tRNA from 1 species